GGCGGCGUGCCUAAGUACAUGCAAGUCGAGCGGACCUGAUGGAGUGCUUGCACUCCUGAUGGUAGCGGCGGACGGGUGAGUAACACGUAGGCAACCUGGCUCGUAAGACCGGGAUAACUACCGGAAACGGUAGCUAAUACCGGAUAAUCAAGUCUCUCGCAUGGGAGGCUUGGGAAAGCGGAGCAAUCUGUCACUUACGGAUGGGCCUGCGGCGCAUUAGCUAGUUGGUGGGGUAACGGCUACACCAAGGCGACGAUGCGUAGCCGACCUGAGAGGGUGAACGGCCACACUGGGACUGAGACACGGCCCAGACUCCUACGGGAGGCAGCAGUAGGGAAUCUUCCGCAAGUGGACGAAAGUCUGACGGAGCAACGCCGCGUGAAGUGAUGAAGGUUUUCGGAUCGUAAAGCUCUGUUGCCAGGGAAGAACGUCCUGUAGAGUAACUGCUACAGGAGUGACGGUACCUGAGAAGAAAGCCCCGGCUAACUACGUGCCAGCCGCCGC
rnacentral:rRNA from 1 species